AGGCAAAUAUUUUCCUAUGGAAAUGGUCCUAAACUCCUAACUCCUAAAAGGACCUAAAUUACUCCACAGGGGACUACAAAGGAGGAAAAGUUUUGGGCUUACGGCCUUUGGAUUUAACGUUCAAAAUCAAUUACAAAAAGAAAUUAUAAAAUAAAAUAAAUUCGUAUACUUUUUUCCCGCCAUUCAUCUUCAUCUUUUCCAAACCCCCAAAUUUCUCAGCAAUUCACACUCCCAGAAUUCUCCAGCAGCUUUCGUACCCUACGAAAACCCUAAUUUUAUCGUCAAAACGUACGAUAAUGGUCUAUUAUUCAAUUUUGGGGAUGAUUAUGCGAUCAUGCUGUUAUCGAUGCUGUCGGUUCAACUGUUUGACGUUCAGAGAUUGAUCUUCUGUCAUCAUCACUCUGACCACAAUGACCCUCCUAUUAAUCAAUUCCAUGUGUCUUAAAGUGCUUACGUGGGCGAAUGAGUGGCCUUCAAGUAUUCAAUUUCGGGAAAGUUCUUCUCAACGGUAAAAACGACCUUGUCAAUUGGAAAUCUAAACUUUCGGCUAGGAGAUUGCUUUAUGUUUCAUCCAAGUUUUUUUGGAUCUCGGAGUUUUUGUCACCAUUGCAAUCUCAAUCAUGAGAUGAUUGAGAUCCUUGCUUAAGGUAAGGCGCCAGUUUUGUUUAAUAUCAACUUUUACUUCAUCCAUAUAUUCAAUGUGUGCCACCAAGUUACCUAUGUUUCAAUCAUGACUGAAAUUGAACAUUAUAAAAAUAUUUAAAAAUAAGAUAUGAGGUUGUUUUUUUUUUUUUUUUGAUAGAAUAUAAAAAUGAGGUACUUGGUAUCUCUUUUAUUUGAUCUCGUGUUUUGUCCUAUACAAUAUCUUAGACGUCUAGACAAGAAUUCACUUUUUAAUCCAAGGUCAUAACUUGGGUUUGAUUCCUAAAAGCCGAUGUUCUUAGGGGUAGGAUUCCCCUGUCUUUUUCACCUCACUCCCAAUGGUUUGGUAUGUUAAGACUAAACUGAUUCCCAAUAUCAUGAUUUACAGGUCAAGUCUAGUUGGAUCCUUCGUCGUCCUAUAUCUAGCUCUAUAGUAAUUUCUUCCAAUGUAUAAAUUAACCAUUAAGGUUGGGGUACUAGGUAGAAUGUAGAACUGGUGGUUUCUUACCUACCUUACAAAAGUGGUUAAAAACAAAGUUAUAUACCGUAAAAAGAAAAGUUAUGGAGAGUUACUUCAUGACUUCCCUCAAACCAAUUAAAUGCUUUCAAUUCUUUGCAUGAUAGACCUCUAUUAUUGAUUGCUCAAAUAAAUUACUGCUAUUAUAUGUACUCCAAUACAUGUUAUAUAUCAUUAUAAUAAAGAAACCCAAUGAAAAGCACACAACAAAUCCACUUUAAGCCAAUCUUAUACUAACUAAUGACAAUUAUUAUUAGUUUGUUCUAUGGUUUGUGAUUGGUAGCGGCAUACCUUGGCUCGGCCCAACAUUGGCUAUUCAUUAGGGGCUAAGCAUUGAGAUUUGAGGUCAAGGAUAAUUUUUUUUAAGGGGUCAAUUUUCUAUACAGGUACAUGAACUUCUAAUUCAUCAUCAUUAAUAAAUUUUGGGAACCUUUCUUGAAAGGUGAAAUUUCAAUUCAUUGGUCUGUUUCCUUUGGAUGGAUCUCUUCUCUCAUAAAGUUUUAAGUUUUUUAAAAAAUUAUUUUAGCUGUUUUUUUUGUCACUAUUAUUUUUUCUAUGAAACCAAUCACAUCAAGGUAGAAUGUGGUAGCGUAAAAAGUAAAAUUACCUUUGCUUCGUUAAUCUAGUCAACUAAUGCACAAGAUAUAUAAGGCAGUUUAGUUAAACUUACUCUGUUUUUAUUGUUAUAUAUUGACUUUUACAUUGAUCCUAUUGUAAUUUAGCCUAAUUUCUACUAAAAUGUGAAAGCAAUUGUUAUACAUAUGUAAACUAUUGUUGAUUUGGGGCCUGUUCUCAUUUACUAAGCUGAACUGCUUAUGAGAAAAUGAAAUUAGGAAUUGAACUGAGCUGGAUUGAACUGAACUGAACUAAAAUUAUAUUGAACUGAAGAGAACAAACCCUUGUAUCACUAUAUAUAUUUUCAAAAUAUCAACAUUUAAUUUUUUACUUGUAAUUAUAUAGAUAUAAAAGUCAAUGUUGUGCAUUAACAAAUGUGGAAUGAUAAACUUUGUUAUAUUUGCAUUUCUUAAUUAUAAGAAAUUAUCAUAUGAAAAAUAAGGCCAGAAGAAGGAAUUAACCGUGGAGAUCAAAUAAUAACAUGAAAUUAGACCAAAUAAUGGCAAGUGACUCAAGUUGGCUGAUUAGGAUAAAUUGAAAAAACCAUUGUGAUUAUGAAACAUGGUAGAACUGUACAAAGUAAUGAAAAAAGGAAUAGGAUUAUAAAUUGAAAAGUUAAAAAUAAAUAAAUAAAUAAAUAAAAUAAAUGUAGUUUGAAACAAUUAAUAAAAUUGAUGGAUUACACAAAGUAUUCUGUAUGUAAUAGGAGUAUAAUUUAUAACUCCGUUGUAACGAUUGCUGACUUAAUUAUAAAAAAUUCAACGAUUCAUAUGUAAUUAGAAUACAGAGUACCUAACUUUUAAUUUUAGGAAAUGAUCCGCAGUUUAUUAUUUUUACUACGGGUACAUAAUAUUGUUUGGAUGAGCAUUUACUAACUGCUACUACUAAUUACUUGUAUAAUUAAAAUUAUUCAUUCACCUAAGAAUUGCCUUUUGCUUUUCAAUUAGAAUUUGCAAAUAUUCUUGUUAACAUGCAAAAAAGAAAUCUUGAAGUCAAAAGCUCACCCUAAUUUUUUUUAUUUUUUUUAACUUAAAUUAUUCGAAUCACUCCCAAAUCUGAAUUUGCAUUCAAAUCGAUUUUUUCUUAUAGCCCACUCGGCCACUCCGUAACUCAGUCAAAUGUUGAAUACAAUUUUCAAUGUCCUCUUCCCCCUACCAUUUUGAUGUCCUUGUCAAUGCCUUUUUAAUUGUGAACAUGAUACGGAGUACUUCUUUUACUAUCCAUAGUCCGUAUCAUAUGGUAAAGUGAGAAAUAGUGAAAUUUUUAUAAAUUUAAAUGUCCUCUUCCCUCUAUCUUUUGUGACCUUUACCAAACUUACGAGUCUACUUAAUAAUGAUAUACUACUUCGGUUUUAUAUUAUUUGCAACAAUUUGACGUAAAAUAGAGAGAAAAAAUGUCUAAUCGUUGUUAAUAAUAUGAAAUGGAGAUAGUAUAAUUUUCGAAAAUAAAAUUACCACUCCUUCCCAAUCCCGUAAUUAAUGCAAGACUGCAAGUACAUAGAAAUCUAUAUAAAGUGUUAUUGUGAUGUUUUUUCAAGCUAAUACCGUAUUUUGUGAUAGUAUAAUAUUACUUCUAAAUGUUUUUUUUUGGGGUGUGUGUGGGGGAGGGGGGGUAGAGAGCCGCAUGCAACAACAAUAAGGUAGGCUAAUUUAAUUUAACCAACUAACCUAGUUAAACUCAAUACUCCUCAAUGCCCUCAUUUUUUUACUUUGAUUGUGGCAGAUACAUAGUACUCUGUAGUAAACACUAUCUCCGUUUUAUAUUAUUUGCAAUAAAGAAAUAUUUUGUAUCUUAUUAGGAGUACCUUUUACUACAUAUAAUACAAAACAAAGGGAUUAUGUUCAAAAUAUCUCUGACCAACGGAUAACCUAGAUUAAGCCCUUGUAAAUAAGAUAAGCAUAAAUCACGUAAGAAUAAUAAAUAGGGAGGGGGAGAGAGAGUAGGGUC